rnacentral:rRNA from 1 species
GUCCACGCUGUAAACGAUGGGCACUAGGUGCCGGGGGGAGCGACCCCUUCGGUGCCGCAGCUAACGCGUUAAGUGCCCCGCCUGGGGAGUACGGCCGCAAGGCUGAAACUCAAAGGAAUUGACGGGGGCCCGCACAAGCGGUGGAGCAUGUGGUUUAAUUCGAAGCAACGCGAAGAACCUUACCUGGGCUUGACAUACACCGGAAAGCUCCAUGAAAGUGGGGCCCUUCUUCGGAACCGGUGCACAGGUGCUGCAUGGCUGUCGU